rnacentral:rRNA from 1 species
CUACGGGAGGCAGCAGUAGGGAAUCUUCCGCAAUGGACGAAAGUCUGACGGAGCAACGCCGCGUGAGUGAUGAAGGCUUUCGGGUCGUAAAACUCUGUUGUUAGGGAAGAACAAGUGCUAGUUGAAUAAGCUGGCACCUUGACGGUACCUAACCAGAAAGCCACGGCUAACUACGUGCCAGCAGCCGCGGUAAUACGUAGGUGGCAAGCGUUAUCCGGAAUUAUUGGGCGUAAAGCGCGCGCAGGUGGUUUCUUAAGUCUGAUGUGAAAGCCCACGGCUCAACCGUGGAGGGUCAUUGGAAACUGGGAGACUUGAGUGCAGAAGAGGAAAGUGGAAUUCCAUGUGUAGCGGUGAAAUGCGUAGAGAUAUGGAGGAACACCAGUGGCGAAGGCGACUUUCUGGUCUGUAACUGACACUGAGGCGCGAAAGCGUGGGGAGCAAACAGGAUUAGAUACCCUGGGUAGUCCA